UUUCCGUAGGCGAACCUGCGGAAGGAUCAUUAUCGAGUUUUGACUGGGCUGUAGCUGGCCUUCCGAGGCAUGUGCACGCCCUGCUCAUCCACUCUACACCUGUGCACUUACUGUGGGUAUCAGAUCGUGAAGCGUGCUCUUUUACCGGAGCUUGUGAAGCGUGUCUGUGCCUGCGUUUAUCACAAACACUAUAAAGUAUCAGAAUGUGUAUUACGAUGUAACGCAUCUAUAUACAACUUUCAGCAACGGAUCUCUUGGCUCUC
rnacentral:misc_RNA from 1 species